CCGUUUACUUCAUUUACGUUAACGCGGUCAAAAUGGAAAUUUAUAAUGUCUACUCGAGUAAACGCGCGUUUACUCUGUGUCCGUUUAGUCAGUAGUAAACGGCCGUUUACUUCAGAUUUCACUAGUUUAAUUUUACGUGCACGUAAAAGUAAACGGGCGUUUACUACAGAUUUCUUAAUUGUAUUUUUACAUGCACUUGAGAGUAAACGCGCGUUUACUUUUCGCGUUAACUAAUUGUGUAUAUUAUAAAAUAAUUGUCGGAUGCAUU
rnacentral:lncRNA from 1 species